GUUUAAAGCAAUGUACAUUUUAUUAUUUAGCUUUAGAUGCAUGUUCUGCAGCAGCUACCCCAUGUGUAAACACAUUUACUGUUUUACAAUCUUCAACAAGUGCUACUGAUGUACAUCUCAUGUGCGGUGCCGUUGAUACUUUAUUAGUAUGCAUUGACACCACAACUUCAUUUUGCAACGCAAGUGCAGCAGAACAGCUGAAGUCAACAAUCACAACGCUGGUGGAAGAGUACAAAAAAGAUCCAUUCAACUGUAACCAGUUCAAAACUACUACACCGGUGACUUCGACGUCAUAUCCUUUACUUCCAACUGAAAUGCCAUCUGGUGUGGAACAUUGUGCUGCGGGGGCAAUGUCGUGUAUUUUGAAAUUCCAGAAUGACGAAAGGUCUGCUAAUGGAAACGUAGAUGUUGUUUGCAUUGCUGUUGAUGAAACGAUAACAUGUAUAAAGAAUGUCAGUGAUAGUUGUGAUCCUAUAGCAGCUGCAGAUGUUAUACAGAGUAUGAACGGUG